rnacentral:tRNA from 1 species
GGAGAGAUGCCCGAGAGGCCGAAGGGGCACGACUGGAAAUCGUGUGUGCGUUAAAAGCGCACCGUGGGUUCGAAUCCCACUCUCUCCGCCA